rnacentral:rRNA from 1 species
UACGUAGGCGGAAGAUUAAGUCAGUGGUGAAAUCCUGCAGCUUAACUGUAGAACUGUCAUUGAUACUGGUUUUCUUGAAUUUAGUUGAGGUAGGCGGAAUGUGUAAUGUAGCGGUGAAAUGCUUAGAUAUUACACAGAACACCGAUUGCGAAGGCAGCUUACUAAACUAUUAUUGACGCUGAUGUACGAAAGCGUGGGGAGCGAACAGGAUUAGAUACCCUGGUAGUCC